CACUAAUAAAUCCACAUUCGGAUGAUGCAAUGAAGUUAUAUUUAACUGUAGAACUCUCCUCACAUGCCAGAUUUCAAAUCUGCUUCUAAGUAAAUGUCCUUUUGAGGACUCAUUAUGACUAUUCCCAUCUUCCUUCAAAACAAACCCAUUACUGAUGCUCAUUUCCUUUCUUCUCUUGGCUUCUGGCUGUCAGAUUUACACCUCUUCCAAGCCAUGCUGUCUUGGCCAACUGCAGCACUCUCACAGCCAAGAACAGGGCGCUCAAGCCCAAGCCCAGCAGACCCAGCCAGAGAGUACCAGCAACUGUUUUCUUAUGGGGUCCUUUCAAGAAAGCACACCAAAUGAUGAUACAGACUCGCUUCUCUCCCUCUGACAUCUGACAAACUCCAGUUUUCAGGCUUGACUGUGCUUCCACUGAGCCACCUCACUAGCCCCAAAAAGCACCCUUAAGUCUUCGGAAAAAGAGAUGCUUCCGUUUUUGUGGAUAUUACAUUCUUGGGAACUCUGACAUUUAAAAGCACAAAGUUCACUUCUUCUCAAUAGAAAGCAGGAAUGCUGACCAUGCCAUCCAAUUGACUGUGGUGAAAGAAGACCCACCAUGAAUGCUGACCAUGCCAUCCAACUGACUAUGGUGGAAGAAGACCCACCCUGAAUAUUUACUAUAUCAUCCAAUUGGCUGCAGUGGAAGAAGACCCACCACGAAUGUUGACGAUGCCAUCCAAUUGACUGCAGUUCCAGACUGAAUAAAAACUGGGAAAGGAUGAAGCCAGCUGAACAUUAGCAUUUAUCUCUUUUUGUACCCUAACUUUGAAUGCAAUCUGACCUGCUACUUCAUGCCCCUGCCUGGAAAAGUAGCCUAUAUGCCUUCCUAAUCUGUGAGCUAAAAUAAAUUGAUUGCUCCUCAAACUGCUUGUACCAGGUGCCUUGUGCCUUGUUGUAAUUGCAGCAAAUCAUGUAUUUGAAUUG